rnacentral:RNase_P_RNA from 1 species
UGAGUAACACAGGUGAACGCGGCUGUUCAGACGAAAGGGAACAGGUGAGGAAAGUCCGAGCUUCAUAGGGCAGGAUGCCGGAUAACGUCCGGUGGAGGUGACUCCCAGGCUAGUGCAACAGAAAUAAACCGCCAUGUUUUACAUGGUAAGGGUGGAACGGCGAGGUAAGAGCUCACCGCCUUUCUGGUAACAGAAAGGGCAUAUGUAAACCCCAUUCGAAGCAAGACCGAAUAGGAAGUGAUACGGCGGCCCGUCGUGCUUUCGGGUAGGUCGCUAGAGCCUGUCGGUAACGGCAGGAGUAGAUAGAUGUUCACUCAACGACAGAACUCGGCUUAUCGUGUUACUCAUUGA